CAACUUUCAACAACGGAUCUCUUGGCUCUCGCAUCGAUGAAGAACGCAGCGAAAUGCGAUAAGUAAUGUGAAUUGCAGAAUUCAGUGAAUCAUCGAAUCUUUGAACGCACCUUGCGCUCCUUGGUAUUCCGAGGAGCAUGCCUGUUUGAGCGUCACGU
rnacentral:rRNA from 1 species